rnacentral:rRNA from 1 species
CAUGCAGUUAGCGGUCAAUAAGAGGGCUGUGACGCCCUUAAAGGGCCUGGGCGGUUUGCGCGAUACACUGAUGCAUUCACUGAGUGUAUCCUUGGCUGAGAGGCUUGGGUAAUCUGAUGUAUGCAUCGUGAUGGGGAUUGAUUAUUGUAAUUCUUAAUCAGAGACGAGGAAUGCCAGAUAUGCGCAAGUCAAAACC